CCCUUAGAUGUUCUGGGCCGCACGCGCGCUACACUGAUGCAUUCAACGAGUUCCUCACCUGUUCCGACAGGAAUGGGUAAUCUUUGAAAUUGCAUCGUGAUGGGGAUAGAUUAUUGCAAUUAUUAAUCUUCAACGAGGAAUUCCUAGUAAGCGCGAGUCAUUAGCUCGCGCUGAUUACGUCCCUGCCCUUUGUACACACCGCCCGUCGCUCCUACCGAUCGGGUGAUCCGGUGAAUAAUUCGGACCGAGCCGGUCUCUUUGGGCUUCGGCUCAUGGCUGGUUUGGAAAGUUUUGUAAAUCUUAUCACCUAGAGGAAGGAGAAGUCGUAACA
rnacentral:rRNA from 1 species